GAAGGUAUAGCUCAGUAGUAGAGCAUGUCCUUAGCAUGCACAAGGUCCUGGGUUCAAUCCCCAGUUCCUCUG
rnacentral:tRNA from 1 species